CAUGGCUUUCCUUUCUUUCUUACAAUUUUCCUACAGCUAUGACAUUGGAGAUGCCAGCCAACGUGCUCUUCAGCUGGUCAGGAAACACAAGCCUUUUCUGAAGGGCUGGCUGAGUGUUGUGUAACCUCCCGCUGGCAUCUGUGGCGCAGCCGAAUGGGAGGGCACAGAGGCAUCGACUGAGCCAACCAGCAAGAGGACAGGAUUCUGUCAACCCUUUCUUGUUACUCGGUUCUCUCCCAUCACCCACACUUCAGGUAAUGCCUACAAGUGAUACAACAUUCAAGAGUACAAAUGGGACUUCUCCAUAUGAUGUCCACAUGCUUGUAACCCUGCAAGGCCUGUGCUCCAGUCCCCAACUAACAAGGGUGACGCUUGGAUUACACUGGAAAAACCCUGUCUUCCACCUAUGACAGUGAUGGCGAACCUUUUGAGCUCGGCGUGUCAGCAUUUUGAAAAACCCUAACUUAACUCUG